AUUGAACGCUGGCGGCAUGCCUUACACAUGCAAGUCGAACGGCAGCACGGGUGCUUGCCCCUGGUGGCGCGUGGCGCACGGGUGAGUAAUACAUCGGAACAUGUCCUGUAGUGGGGGAUAGCCCGGCGAAAGCCGGAUUAAUACCGCAUACGCUCUACGGAUGAAAGCGGGGGCCCUUCGGGCCUCGCGAUAUAGGGAUGGUCGAUGGCUGAUUAGCUUGUUGGUGGGGUAAAGGCCUACCAAGGGGACGACCAGUCACUGGUCUGAGGAGAAGGCCAGCCACACUGGGACUGAGACACGGCCCAGACUCCUACGGGAGGCAGCAGUGGGGAAUUUUGGACAAUGGGCGAAAGCCUGAACCAGCAAUGCCGCGUGUGUGAAGAAGGCCUUCGGGUUGUAAAACACUUUUGUCCGGAAAGAAAGCCUUGGACCUAAUACGGUCGGGGGAUGACGGUACCGAAAGAAUAAGCACCGGCUAACUACGUG
rnacentral:rRNA from 1 species